GGAAGUUUGCCCACAACUGUUAAAUUACUUUAGCCUCCACUACAAGAUGACUGGUUACUGAAAAUAAUCCCAGGGAAUGGUGCACAGGAGUCAUUCAAGAGGUGUUUUUCGUUUGGCCCAUCUCCUAGAGGAUAUGAGUCUCUUUUCAGUGUAUACCUGAGGAACAAGUAUCCCCUGAUGAGUUGCCUGGUUUUAUGUGAAUUCCUUUGCUCACAUGCCCUGCUGACAUACUGAGGAAGGUUUUUUGAAGUAUGUUUCUCAGAUAAACUCAGGGAUUAUACCCCAGGAAUGUACCACAGGGAAGAUAAAACUAUCAUGAGGAAAGGAACAUUUCAGGUGCUUGUGCAAUUUAUUUUUUAACUGCACUGAGAUUAUCUUUACAGCUGCAUCUGCAGGAAUUUAUCAGCCUCCUUACAAUCUUCCUCCCUAUGUACUUAGUUGCCUCCUGAAAAAACACAUCACUUAUCAAUAAGGUGUACUCUUCCUCAGCUGCAGGAUUAUGAGCCUCUCCUUGAAAGCUGAAAGGAAUUUCUCCUGUUUCACCAAAACUGUGAAAAUUGUCAAAACAAGCAGAUAGAGAAUAACAAUGAAGGAAAAAAGUUUCUU
ensembl:lncRNA